rnacentral:rRNA from 1 species
ACGGUCGCAAGACUAAAACUCAAAGAAAUUGACGGGGACCCGCACAAGCGGUGGAGUAUGUGGCUUAAUUCGAUGCAACGCGAAGAACCUUACCAAGGCUUGACAUGCAUCUCUAAACACGUGAAAGCGUGUGACCCUUCGGGGAAUUUGCACAGGUGCUGCAUGGCCGUCGUCAGCUCGUGUCGUGAGAUGUUGGGUUAAGUCCCGCAACGAGCGCAACCCUUGUGAUUAGUUGCCAGCACGUUAAGGUGGGAACUCUAGUCAGACUGCCCAGAUCAACUGGGAGGAAGGUGGGGACGACGUCAGGUCAGUAUGGCCCUUACGCCUUGGGCUGCACACGUACUACAAUGCCCAGCACAAUGAGAACCGAUACCGCGAGGUGGAGGAAAUCUGUAAAACUGGGCUCAGUUCGGAUUGGAGGCUGCAACUCGCCUCCAUGAAGUUGGAAUCGCUAGUAAUGGGGCAUCAUCUACGGCCCCGUGAAUACGUUCCCGGGUCUUGUACACACCGCCCGUCACAUCAUGGAAGCCGGUCGCACCCGAAGUGCUCGUACCAACCGCAAGGGGGUAGAGUCCUAAGGUGUAGCUGGUAACUGGGAUG